rnacentral:rRNA from 1 species
GUGGGGAAUAUUGCACAAUGGGCGCAAGCCUGAUGCAGCCAUGCCGCGUGUGUGAAGAAGGCCUUCGGGUUGUAAAGCACUUUCAGCGGGGAGGAAGGCGUUAAGGUUAAUAACCUUGGCGAUUGACGUUACCCGCAGAAGAAGCACCGGCUAACUCCGUGCCAGCAGCCGCGGUAAUACGGAGGGUGCAAGCGUUAAUCGGAAUUACUGGGCGUAAAGCGCACGCAGGCGGUCUGUCAAGUCGGAUGGGAAAUCCCCGGGCUCAACCUGGGAACUGCAUUCGAAACUGGCAGGCUAGAGUCUUGUAGAGGGGGGUAGAAUUCCAGGUGUAGCGGUGAAAUGCGUAGAGAUCUGGAGGAAUACCGGUGGCGAAGGCGGCCCCCUGGACAAAGACUGACGCUCAGGUGCGAAAGCGUGGGGAGCAAACAGGAUUAGAAACCCUUGUAGUCC